ensembl:lncRNA
CCGUCCGCCCAUCCCCAGCCCAGCAGCCAGAUGGGACUCCGCUCCACUCUGACUGGAUUGUAGUCCGGCGACAGAGCUCCGCUGCUAAUCUGUGCGGUCCCUCACCUUCUGGGCGAAAACCAGUGUCCAGUCGUCAGAGCAUUGACACUCAGCGUCACCCACUGUCCCCCGAAAGGGAGGGGUCUUUUCCCGCCACCGCAGUUUCUCUUUCUCUACAGGUGGAAGAAGCGACGGGUCCUAAGCCCUCUAGCCUCUCAGAACGCCGUUCCCUUGGCAACCAAAAGCGGACGCUUCCAGUCUCGCGAUAGGAGAAAAGGACAGUACCAUCUAGAAACAAGACAUGGGAGCCCAAGAACGGCUGGGGCACAACCUGACGAAACCCUGAGACCUGAGGAACCUCUACUGUCUCCUCUGUCUUUUGGGUGGACGGCGGAGGCACAUGAAGACUAUUUCCCUGGGUCCUCAAAUUGACUUUUCUUCAUCCUCAGUGCCAUCAAAUAUCUGCUUCUUCCAAUAUAAGCAGCAUUUUACAGUUUACAAGACAUUUUCAAUACAUGGACCUUUUAGCCUCAUUGUUAGGUGGUGAGGUAUGUAUUCUGUAAGUAUUUUUCAGAAGAUCAAAUAGAUAAAAGUGAUGUGUGCAGAACUAGGGCAGUGGUGGGUGUAAAAACCUGACUGUAAAUGUCAUCCAUAUACUUCUACAUUCUGCAUUUCUAUCUCCAGCUCUGAAAUCCACAUGCUUAUCUGACUAAAUGACGUCGAUGUAAGAAGGACCUCAAACUUAAGAUGUCAAAAAACUGAACUUCUCCACAGUCCCUCCUCCACCUCACCUUCUUACCUAUCUUACCUAAUCAAUAACUGCAUCCUGCCAGUCUCAGGCCCUCCUUGGGGCCUGAGAUAAUAAUUGCUUCCUCAAGGUCCUCCUUGUUAGUGUUUCUACUCAAGAAUUUCUUCCCAGCAUUUCUCAGAAUCUUUAUAUGUUUUUCCAAAUUAAAAGAAAGUCAGUUGAGAAAUCAGGAAAAUUGGACAGAGAGUUCUAAUUCUCCUGCAAGAAUUAAACCUUAGCAAUCAACAUAGAGAUCGACUGAUGUCAAGAUAAAUCAAAAGCAAGGGCAGGAAACACUGUGAGUCAGAAGCUGAGAUAAACAUUUCAGGAACCAGGACAGGAGCACCUAGGAAGGACGCGAUCACAACUCAACCAGUCAAUUUUGCUUGCAAUUAGUGUGGUAAGUGUGUGUUUCUGCACAUUAACUGUCUUCUAAUAGUCAUUCUUGCAAGUAAAAUAAAUGUUAAUAAGUUGAUACUUAUUGUAUACUU